AUAGUACCGCAUAAAAUCCUUUUCCCUAAUCUCUGUCUAGUUAGCAUUAGAGCCGGUCUCGCUCGUCUGGUCGUGUGCAAAAUCGAUCAACUAAUCAUUUGCCGUAGUUUCUAUCUCCUUAUUUGAGAAUCCAAGGUUCAAUAUGAAACCAUCAAAGACUGAAAAUAAUGUGGAAUCAAAUAUGAAGAGUACAACCAGAUAUGCGUUCGUCCCGCCGGGUGCUAUAAGAAAGGGACAAGGACGAGGAUGAGGGCUUAGAUCUUUGGUUGAGAAAGAGAAUAUGCCACUUAAGAGUUUAUUUACUCAAUCUAGUGAUCUUGUUAAGCACUACAUCCAAACAAUUGAAACAAGUGCUAUUGGGAAGGGACAAGGACAAAGGUUUAAAAGCUCAACCAUGUCUGCUAGUCAAGGGUCGGUAAUGAUACAUAAAGACUCUAUCGUUCUUGAGAAAGAAUAUAUGCUAAUUGAUAUUCCAUUGCCUCCAUUUACUAAUCAAAUUAAGCAAUACACCCAAAAAGUUGAAGCAAGGAAGGGAUGGGAGAAAACUCCUAGAUCUUCGUGCUCAUCUUUAGGUAUUUCUAAAAGCACAAGAUCGAAUUUUACCAUAUCUUCCAACCAAGAAAUUCGAACAAUGGAUAAAAACUCCUUGGUUCUUGAGAAAGAGCAUAUGCAAGCCAAUAUUUCAUUGCCUCCAUCUAUUGAUCAAGUUAUGCAACACUCCCAAGCAACUGAAACAGGUAAAAAGAGUUCGAGGGAGGAACAAGUGCAAAGAAGUUGCAUCACUUGAAGUUGGACAAAAGCUGAAAGUAACCUUCUACAAUAAUCAAACAGUUGGAACAACUAGCAAACUGUUUUCGAGGCACAUGGGAAGAAUAGUUCGUGACCGUAAUAUGUGUCCGUUGGGAGUAUUAUCGUGCAAUGAUAUUAAGGAGGAAAAUCUGAAUCACAUGUGGGCAGCUAUUGAGAUUUAGUGGACGCAACAACUUCAAUAUCUGGAAGUUCUAGAUGAUGGUGUUACUACGGAUGGAAGGUUCAAUCCAUGCUAUUGACGGAAAGUAUCCUAAGGAUAUAUCAACUUCUGACAAGGAGAAGAUUGAAGGGGAUGCAUUGAGUGCAAUCCAACUAUCCCUUGCACCUAACGUGCUUUAAAGUGAGUAUGAGUACCGAAGAGACAGCCAAACAGUUAUGGGAAAAGCUAGAAGGGCUAUACCAAGACCGAUCAAUGACAACAAGGAUGUUUUUACAAUGGCGUCUUCACACAUUUAAGAUGGGGUCAGGUACUUCGUUACAAGAUUAUUUAGAUGCGUUCAAUAAACUUGUCAUGGACUUACAGAUUGCAGAAAUUAAAAAGGAGGAGGAGACGCUUGCAUGUGCUUUGCUAUUUUCAUUGACUGUAGGAUAUCGUGAUAUUGAGAAUUCAAUGAUGUAUAGAAAGGAGCCUAUGAAGCUUGAGCAAGUGCGGUAGGCACUUAACUCUAGUGAUGUGCGGAGGCACAUUGAAGCAGAUAGAGAUGACUAGGCAAGUGGGCUCUUUGUGAGAGGCCAGACUAGCCAACAGGGAAAGAGCAAAUCAAAUCACAGAUCAAAGUCUCGUGUGAACAAGAAGAAUACACAGUGUUGGGGUUGUGGCAAGAAGGAGCACUUUGAACGAGAUUUCCCAAUGUUAAAGUCUAAGGAAAAGGCGAGUGCAUCUACAGUUGAACAGGAAUUCUCGGAGUAUUGGAGACAAGUUGGGCGCACGAGCACUGGCAAAGGAGAGCAACCUGGGCGAGUGUCAGCAAAGGGCGGUAGAAAGUAGUGCGUGAGCGUAUAACUACAUCGAGUACAGCAAAUCAGCCACAGGUUUUGUUAUCGGGAGUUGGUACCUCCUGUUUUACUGUUUCCCUUUUGGUGUUAGCUAAAUUACUGUUACUUUACUUCGCAAUAGUUAAACCUUUCAACUAGGAUACUAGUUACCACUUGUUUCCUUCUAGUUUGAUUUAUGUCUGUUGUGCACUAGCGAGUCUUCUCUAGAUUGUCGUAGAUGUAGUGGUUGCAGUCUGGGAUGAUAGAAUAAGGGCAUGUCCUCGGGUGGGGCAGAGU